rnacentral:rRNA from 1 species
UACGUAGGGAGCAAGCGUUGUCCGGAAUCAUUGGGCGUAAAGCGCGCGUAGGUGGCCUCGUAAGUCCGCUGUGAAAGUCAAAGGCUCAACCUUUGAAAGCCGGUGGAUACUGCAGGGCUAGAGUACGGAAGAGGCGAGUGGAAUUCCUGGUGUAGCGGUGGAAUGCGCAGAUAUCAGGAGGAACACCAAUAGCGAAGGCAGCUCGCUGGGACGUUACUGACGCUGAGACGCGAAAGCGUGGGGAGCAAACAGG